rnacentral:rRNA from 1 species
UACGGGGGGGAGCAAGCGUUGUUCGGAUUUACUGGGCGUAAAGGGCGCGUAGGCGGCCACUGCAAGUCGGUUGUGAAAUCUCCGGGCUUAACUCGGAACGGUCAAGUGAUACUGUCGUGCUAGAGUACAGAAGGGGCAACUGGAAUUCUCGGUGUAGCGGUGAAAUGCGUAGAUAUCGAGAGGAACACCUGCGGCGAAGGCGGGUCUCUGGGCAGUAACUGACGCUGAGGAGCGAAAGCGUGGGGAGCGAACAGG